rnacentral:pre_miRNA from 1 species
CUUCCUAUGCACAUCUGUCCUUGUAAGCUGGAGGAGGACAUGUGUGCAUAGGGAAGA